GUGUCAGUAAUCGCAUAUGGGGGUCAGUAGUCGCUUAUGGUGGUCAGUAAUCACUUAUGGGGGUCAUAUGGGGGUCAGUAAUCGCUUAUGGGGGUCAUAUGGAGGUCAGUAGUCGCAUACGGGGGUCAGUAGUCGCUUAUGGUGGUCAGUAAUCACUUAUGGGGGUCAGUAAUCGCUUAUGGGGGUCAGUAGUCGAUUAUGGGGGUCGUAUGGGGGUCAGUAAUCACAUAUGGGGGUCAGUAAUGGUCAGUAAUC